UCGGAAAGCUCGCACCAGCCUGGUGCAUCAGGUUGCUCUUCCUCGCUCGGGGCUGAUUCCCCGUUCCUCUCUCCCGAAAGCACGUGAUUCGAGGUUACAGGGAUUGCGCGUGCCCAAGCCCCCAAGAUCGUGGGUGCUGAGGUGAUCUCCUGUGGAUGGACUGCCUCUGUGGGACAACAUGCGACUCUUCAGCCAUGCGGAUCCUCUGGGCUCGAGCUCGCUCUUGAGCUGUCACCAGAGCCUGGAUGCGGAGAAGGGUAGCAGCAGCCUGCUUCCUUACUAGGUGACCUCUCACCAGAGCUUGCAGCUUUACCAGGCCUCUCAAUGCACAUAGAGCUUUUCUAGCCUGCAAGAAACCCAACAGGAACUUGAAAAGAUUAGAGAAGUACCAAAUAUGCACGGAAAGCAGACUGAAUUUUGACAGCUGCAUCUUCCUCGACAGCGCUGGUUUUUUGUUUGGUGGAAGCAGUUGUUAGCCGAAUUACAGCUGCUGCUGCCUGCGCAGCAGCUACAGCAGCAUCGGCAGCGGCAGCCGUGGCCACUACGACAGCCAUUGCAUGCCUUUUCUGUUCAAUCUCGGCCUCCGAUAGCCCCUGAACCGGCGCGCUUAUGCUCAACUCUGGGGAACCCAAGCUCUUCCCUGGACAUGCUGAUCUCCGAAAACUCCAUCUCUUUUUCUCCUUAGGAGCAGGCACCGAGAUUGGAACUGACCGAGUCUUGGUUGGCAAUGGAGAUGAAGAUUCUGCUUUCUCCUUAUUUGCAUCCUUCUUCCCCGUCAAGAAGUUCCUGAGCCAUCUGCCUGCCUUCCCCAUUUUCUCAUGUACAACCACUAGGAGCAGGGGUCAAGAGUCAUUCGCUUGGGAAAGCUAGAUGAGACAAGGAUUUCCAUUGCAAGCCACUUGCUGCCAGCCUCUACAAGAGUGAUCCCAUGAUUCUCUACAAGAAUAACUAGCACUCCACUUCCAAGAUGCCUUCUCUGCUGGUGAAGUAAUGAUGGGAUUCAGCAAGGUUAUUCUGGUAAGUGUACAGUGUGAGGAUUAAGGAAGGGGCCAGAGAGCCAUGUGAAGGAAAUAGCCAUGAACAUGCUGUGGAUCAGUGUGGACAGCAAGUUCUGGUUGUCAGCAACUUACGUAAAGUUCAUCCCAUCAUUGGCUUACAGUGACCGAGGCCGCCUCAACUUUUUCACCCUGUACCUGCAGUUGGGGCUGAUGAUCCCAAACCAGUGCCGGUACUACUCGAAGGAGAAAGGUCUGGAUCUGUCAUGUUUAUAUCGAUUCUAUGGUUUCAAUCUCUCGAAUUAGAGUUACCUUCUCCGUGACUCAAAUCUUUGUCUCUCAUGUUAUUUAUCGCGAGACUCGAUCUAGCUGCUCACUCCAAAAUCACUUGGACAGUUCAAUCUGGCAUUAUUUGGAGCAGAUCUUCAUAAGAUUGCAUUAUCCGCUAAUGACAGGGGGAGCUCUGCCACAUUAAUCCAAAAGGAAGGAAGAGAAUGUGUGUCAAAAGUAUUCCAUCUCAAUACCUGCGAGGAAAGAUGCAUCGAGCAGCACAAAAAUUAACUAAUGAGCCAUUUAAGUAAGGAAUUAGUUGGCAGUCACAUGCGACUGCAUAUCCUACUACUGCGUUGACUGUUUGUCGGGAAGAGGCUCAGCAUCACUCAGCUUCUGCUCUUGUUUAAUAGUUUCCUCCUUUCUAUUGCCAACAACAUUCAUUUGUCAUAGUACAUUUGAAUGUGAUGUUAACUAUGCAAGCCGAUAGAGUGUAAGAGCCUUUUUCUUCUGCAUCAAUGAGAUGUCACAACUGUUUGAUUCCUGCUAGCAUAUGGCGUGGGUAUGGAAUAGAUUCCUGACUUUAAAAUUUGGAUGUGGCACAGAUGUGGAAUCGAGAAUAAUAGGAAUGUGUUCAUCAAAAAGUAAUAAAAAAAAAGGAAGAGUAGCUUUAGACACUAA